GGACUGGAAUGUACCAGUAUGCCCCAGUAUAACCCAGUAUGGACCAGUAUGGACCAGUAUGGACCAGUAUAGCUCAGUAUGGACCAAUAUGGCCCAGUAUGGACCAGUAUAGCUCAGUAUGGACCAGUAUAGCCCAGUAUGGCCCAGUAUGACCCAGUAUGACCAGUAUGAACCAUAUAGCCCAGUAUAGUCCAGUAUGGAACAGUAUGGAACAGUAUGGCCCAGUAUAACCCUGUAUGGGCCAGUAUGAACCAGUCCCCUCCCAGAAUGGACUAGUAUAGACCAGUAUAACCCAGUAUGGACCAGUAUGACCCAGUAAGGACCAAUAUGGACCAGUAUGGACCAGUAUGGACCAGUCCCCUCCCAGUAUAACCCAGUAUGGACCAGUAUGGCCCAGUAUAACCCAGUAUGGACCCAGUAUAACCCAAUAUGGACCAGUAUAACCCAGUAUGGACCAGUCCCCUCCCAGAAUGGACCAGUAUAGACCAGUAUAACCCAGUAUGGACCAGUAUGACCCAGUAUGGACCAGUAUGGGCUGAACUGGGCUGAAAACUUCCCCCUUUGUUUUAUUCGCCUGUAAAACAACAAGAGGAGAAACAACGCGACCCCCAAGUCCUCCAAGCGACCCCCAAGUAAGUCCUCCAAGCAACCCAUAAGUCCUCCAAGCAACCCAUAAGUCCUCCAAGACCUCUAUGAUCACCAUCGUAGUCCUCCAUGGCAUCUCUAUGGUCCUCCAAGCACUCUAUGGUCACAGCUGAGGUCCUCCAAGUUUCACUGGGGUCCUCCAAGGCCUCACUUGGGUCCUCCAACAACUCUAUGAUCAUCGAGGUCCUCCAAGGCAUCUCUAUGGUCCUCCAAGGUGUCGCUGGGGUCCUCCAACAACUCUGUGAUCAUCGAGGUCCUCCAAGGUGUCGCUGGGGUCCUCCAACAACUGUAUGGUCACCAUCGCUGUCCUCCAAGGCCUCACUUGGGUCCUCCAACAACUCUAUGGUCACCAUCAAGGUCCUCCAAGGUGCCAUCGGGGUCCUCCAUCAACUCUAUGAUCACCAUCAAUGUCCUCCAAGGCAUCUCUAUGGUCCUCCAAGGCAUCUCUAUGGUCCUCCAAGAACUCUAUGAUCCUUACGGUCCUCCAAGGCUUCACUUGGGUCCUCCAACAACUCUAUGAUCAAUGGGGAGGACCAUUGGGGAGGGAGAUGGGGACAUAGGGACCAAUGGGGUGGGGGACGGGAACAUACAGACCAAUGGGGUUGGAGAUGGGGAUAUAGGGACCAAUGGGGUGGGGAGAUGGUGUGGGGAUCCCCAAGCAGCCAAUCAGGAGGCCACGUAUGUCUCUGGGAUGGGGAAUAGGGACCAAUGGGGGGCGAGCUGAUCACGGAGGGGCCCAAUAGGAGCCAAUAGGGGCCCAAUAGGAACCAAUAGGGACCCAAUAGGGUUGGGAGGACCCAAUAGGAACCAAUAGGGGCCCAAUAGAACCCAGUAGGGGCCCAAUAGAAGCCAAGAGGGGAUGGGAGGAGCCAAUAGGAGCCCAAUAGAAGUCAGUAGGGACACAAUAGGAACCAAUAGGGGCCCAAUAGAGGCCAAUAGGGUUGGGAGGACCCAAUAGGAGCCAAUAGAAGCUAAUAGGGGAUGGGAGGACCCAAUAGGAGCCAAUAGAAGCCAAUAGGGGAUGGGAGGAUCCAAUAGGAGCCAAUACAAGCCAAUAGGGGAUGGGAGGAGCCAAUAGGAGCCCAAUAGAACCCAGUAGAGGUCCAAUAGGAACCAAUAGGGGCCCAAUAGGAACCAAUAGGGGCCCAAUAGGAGCCAGUAGGGACCCAAUAGAGGCCAAUAGGGAUGGGAGGAGCCAAUAGGAGCCCAAUAGAACCCAGUAGGGGCCCAAUAGGAGCCAAUAGGGGCCCAAUAGAGGCCAAUAGGGGAUGGGAGCACCCCAAUAGAAGCCAAUAGGGGAUGGGAGGACACAAUAGAAGCCAAUAAGGGCCCAAUAGAGGCUAUAGGGUUGGGAGGACCCAAUAGACGUCAAGUUGAUUAUGUUGAGAACCAAUAGGAGCCAUAGGGAUGGGAGGACCCCAAUAGGGAUGGGAGGACCCCAAUAGAAGCCAAUAGGGGAUGGGAGGACCCU
rnacentral:lncRNA from 1 species